rnacentral:lncRNA from 10 species
GUCCUGUCCCCGGAUCUGGACAUGGCGAGCUGACUCGGAGGAAAGUCCGAAGACGCUGGAUCCGUGAGCGCCACCAGAAGGGCCCUGUCUGGGGUCCCGGCGCCGGUUCUGCGCCCUGCGGCUCCUCUCGCCACCUCCCACACACUUCGUCCCUCACUUUCCUAAAACCAACCACCUCAGCUCGGCUGUUGGCAGCAACAGCAGUGGCAGCAGCGACGGCAAAGUGGCGGCUGAGGCCGAGGCACCUCGUGGGCUCGUGUCCAUGCCGGGCCAGAUGAAGGGAAAGGCCGGGAAGUGGGGAGCCGGGGGUGCCCUGAAAGCUCAGAGGCGACCGACGGCGAAGGUUCCAGGUCAACUUGUGCCCGAAGCUUUGCUUUUCGCAGUUGGCCCAGUUUGGGGGAGGGGGUAGGAACAGGGGCCCGACCAGCGUGCGGGGUGUGCGAAUCUUAGCUCUCCAAAAGCUGGGACCCCCUUCGAUUAUCCAUGCUGCCCCGAGAAACUCCUAGGCUAAUAGUCUGAGGGAGGAGAUAAAGCCCUUUCUUCUCCCGGGAAAGUGCAGCGGAGCGCGGUGAGGACCCGCUCAGUGGAAUCGGCAGAGGCGGGAGCUGUCCUUAUCAAUUCGAGCUCAUUUCCCUCAACCUGGCCCUGCCCGCUUCCCCGCUUCGCAAACUGUUGGCUUCCCCGUCACCACUCAGUUUGGCUAAUUUUCCAGAGAUGGCUUUAAACCUGGCAGGAGAAUCCUUCCACCACCGCCACCCCCACCCGGUGGCCCCCUCUCCCCCGUCUCGCUCAUUUCAAAGCGCGGAAGUUCAGGCAUCAAUCUCCCCUUCCAGCGAGGGGCGGCACCGAGGACUCAGGGGGAGGAAGUGGGGCUGCGAGGACGCGUUUGGAGAGGGAGCCGGGAGGCCUGGAGGCCGGGAGGGAUUCGUGUGCACGGUUUCCCCUCCCGGGCACCAGGCGCAGUCGCUUUAACUCCAGUAACUAUGAGAAGUUCAAGUUAGAAGGGCUGAGCAGAAAGGGACCCUCUGCUUGCAUCCCGCCCGCGCGCCGGCCCGCCGGCCCGCCGGCCCGCCCGCCCGGGGGAGAGCCGCCGCCGCCGCCCGGCUCGGAGGGAUCCCGGCGGACCUGCCCCUUCCACUGCGGCUCACUCUGCCCUGCCUGGCGCCGGUCCUGGAUCGCCGGCUUCCUAUUUAUACCGGACUGGGCUCCUUUCGACUCACUUUACCAUCCCGUUCCAGGUGGACCCUACCCUCCCUCGCGCUCCCUCCGCCGGCAGCACCCCCACGCCCGCCCCCAAAGCUCUGGCUUGCCUGAAACAUCUUACAGAGUCUCUCUCCCUUUAAGAGGACCCGGUCAUACCUCUCUCUAGCUCUCUCCGCUUCGUUGUCUCCCCCCGCCCCAUCUUUUCCUAUUCCCCUUCCUUCUUGUUCUUCUCCCUUGCCUUUCCUCCUCAUCUGCUUAUUUCUUGCAAUAGGAGUUUUUUCUUUAUGAGCGUUUGCCAUACAACUACCCCCCCGCCAACCCCUCUGAAAGACUCCCUCCCCGGCCCUUCCCCCUCCAACAAUCCAAAAGACAGAACAAAAUACACACAAGGCAGACACAAG